UACGCGAGCGGUCCGCCGCCCGCAACGUCGCGAGAAGUCCACUGAACCUUAUCAUUUAGAGGAAGGAGAAGUCGUAACAAGGUUUUCGUAGGUGAACCUACGGAAGGAUCAUUG
rnacentral:rRNA from 1 species